AAUGAACGCUGGCGGCAGGCCUAACACAUGCAAGUCGAGCGAAGUCUUCGGACUUAGCGGCGGACGGGUGAGUAACGCGUGGGAACAUGCCCUUUGGUGCGGAAUAGCCCCGGGAAACUUGGAGUAAUACCGCAUGUGCCCUUCGGGGGAAAGAUUUAUCGCCAAAGGAUUGGCCCGCGUUGGAUUAGGUAGUUGGUGGGGUAAUGGCCUACCAAGCCGACGAUCCAUAGCUGGUUUGAGAGGAUGAUCAGCCACACUGGGACUGAGACACGGACCAGACUCCUACGGGAGGCAGGAGUGGGGAAUCGUAGACAAUGGGCGCAAGUCUGAUCGAGCCAUGCCGCGUGAUCGAUGAAGGCCUUAGGGUUGUAAAGAUCUUUCAGUGGGGAAGAUAAUGACGGUACCCACAGAAGAAGCCCCGGCUAACUACGUG
rnacentral:rRNA from 1 species